rnacentral:sRNA from 21 species
GCCACGCCUAGAUCGGCCAAUCGAAAAGCGGGAAACCCUGCCCGCCUGGCGCGGCAACCCAUUCUCAGGGU